GUCGGAGUGGCGGAACCGGAAGACGCGCAGGCCCUAGGAGCCUGUGGGGUAAACCCGUGAGAGUUCAACUCUCUCCUCCGACA
rnacentral:tRNA from 1 species